GGCAAAUGAGAGUGAGGGAGGUGAAAAGAGGUGAAGGAGAGUAGGAUUCCGUGAGGAAGAGCGAAGAGUGAUGAAGAAGAGUAGGUAAGGCAAAAGGCAAAGAAAAAGAUAGGGGUUCAGUUAGGGAGAGCAAAAGGGGCACAACAAAGGAGAGUAAAAGAGUAAAAAGAAAUUAGGGAUGCUCAGCUUCAAAUGACAAAGUGGUAGGAGAGUGAAAAUUUGGAGAUGCACAGUUUCAGGAUAGUGUUCACAGUAAAUCUAACUAUAUAGGCAUGA
rnacentral:lncRNA from 1 species